rnacentral:rRNA from 1 species
GACGAACGCUGGCGGCGUGCCUCAGACAUGCAAGUCGAACGCGAAAGCCCCCUCGGGGGCGAAGUAGAGUGGCGCACGGGUGAGUAACACGUAGGUAAUCUACCUUUGGAUGGGGAAUAACAACCGGAAACGGUUGCUAAUACCGCAUAAUGCAGCGGCACCUAAUGGUGACAGUUGUUAAAGCGGGGGAGUCAAAGACCUCGCGUCUGAAGAGGAGCCUGCGGCGGAUUAGCUAGUUGGAAGGUAACGGCUUACCAAGGCGACGAUCCGUAGUCGGCCUGAGAGGGCGGUCGGCCACACUGACACUGACACACGGGUCAGACUCCUACGGGAGGCAGCAGUUCGGGAAUUUUGGGCAAUGGGCGAAAAGCCUGACCCAGCAACGCCGCGUGAAGGAUGAAAAUCCCUCGGGAUGUAAACUCCGCAAGAAACGGGAAGAAU